ACCAUUGCAGGGAGUGGGGAAACAGAGGGACACCACAGGGAGCAGUUGCUGAAGCCCUAUUCUCUGGGCCUCCAUACAGGGGACAACCAGGAAGAGACAUGGAGUCCACCUGUGCUCAGACUCCAAUGUGGGAACUCAGAGAGUUCAACUAGGGUGCUGAGGCCAAACACAACCAACCCACCGAGCCUCCAGCAAGGAAACCCAAGAAGAGGAGCAGAGGGAGAACUACCUCCAGGCCGGCACUGCAGGCCUGGACCUCAAGAGCUGGGUAACAGAAGCCGGAAAAGGACUUCCUUCCUCAGCAGAGCUGGGAAUCUAGGCCAGAAAUGGAGAGGAGAGGACAGGAGCAUAAGGGGAGAGGUAUGUGCAGAAGCUGGGGGAGGUGCAGGGCCCCAGGGCCGUCUAGAUCUGGUAAAGGCUUGAGGGAGGGGUUCUCCACAUUCUGAGAAGACCAAGCCUCUGAUCUCCGCCCUUUCAGAUCUAAGACUGAAGUGCAGCCAAAACCUGGAGGUGGUGAGGCUGGGCCUGGUGGGUGAGCCUGGGAGGAAGGAAGAGUGUGCUGGGGCUGGGGUAGGUGGCAGGAAACCCAGCCCUCCCAUGGGACUGCCUCCAGGUUCUUAUCUGAGAGCAGCCUGCAUCCUGAACCCACUCACCCCUUCAGUAUCAGCCCCUCCUAAUUUUCGGGGGUAGAAAAUCUGAGAGCUUCCUUGGGAACUAGCAGAUUUCUGGAACCCCCCCGAGGGUCCUUUCUACCCUCACCCCAGCCUGGGUUGUCAUGUGCUGGGGGCCUGGGGGCUGGGCCAGGAACCAGCACUGUGCUUUUCUGUUGGGCAGGAGUGGGGUUCCCAGACCAGGACUCAUGGACACAGGUCCCCUGGGGGCCUGGCUUGAUCUUCUCUGUGGAAGGCCUUCCUCUCCACACAUUCAAGUCAGAGCACAAGGGGUGUGACCUGAGGACCACUGACCCUGUCCCACCUCACUGAGAACAUUUUACCUGAGUCUUGGCAGGAAGGUAGAACCUGACAGUUCCCACUACCUCUGGACCCAGGGGCUCCAGCAUUUGGGGUGCUGCAAGGGAAAUGGCAGUAUCUGGCCAGCCCAGAGCCCCAUGACUUUUUUCUGUGGGCUGCUCCUUCCCUGCUGGUAUUUACUGAUUGCCCACUGGGUCAUUCUCACAUUUCACCCUCCCUGCAACUUACAGAGGGCCCUGAGCAUCAGACGUCACAACUAGGAAGUGGCAAAUCAGAAUUCACACCUGUGUAAUGGUGUCAGCAGGAGCUUCAACUUACCCACUAUAUCCCCUUGAUCCCUUCUAACAGUGGCAGGCCACCUGGUGCUCUCUCUGCCAGGUGACCCUGCCUCUAGGACCCUUCCUGUUCCUCUAGGGGAAAGUGCAUACAUAAUGGAGUUUAGAGGUGGAGCACAUUUGAAUGGCACCCUGGAGUUGUACCAUACAGGGCCCUGCUUCUUUCUUUUCCCUUAGCUUCCAGAUGAGGAAGCAGAGGCCAGAAAGGACCCAACAAUAUCCCUAAAUUUGAAGAAAUAAGCCCAGAUAGCUGGGCACAGCAGCUCACACCCAUAAUCCCAGCACUUUGGGAGGCUGAGGUGGGCAGAUCACCUGAGGUCAGGAGUUUAAGACCAGUCUGACCAACAUGGUGAAACUCCUUCUCUAUCAACAAUACAAAAAUUAGCCAGGCAUGGUGUCCCUCAUGCCUGUAAUCCCAGCUACUCAGGAGGCUGAGGCAUGAGAAUCACUUGAGCCUGGAGAUGGAGGCUGCAGUUAGAGAUGGUGCCACUGCCCUCCAGCCUGGGUGACAAAGAGAGACUCUGUCUCAAAAAAAGAAAGAAGCCCAGGAAUGAAACUUCCAUCCUGACUGCCAAAUCCUAUGCUCUAACCAUAGAUCAACCAUCCUUGCCUCUAGACCUGGAUAUAAGAGAGAGAAAAGGCAAGUAGUGGCACUUAUAGGACACUCCGAAGAAGUGAGAGACAGAUCUCUCCUUUCUCGAUUCUGAAGACCUGCUUCCUCCAAGUGGACAGAGGUCGGGGGGCAGGAGCUGCCCUGAAGCCUAAGGGAGAAAAGCAGAGCUUAUCUGUCUGCUGCCACACUGCUAUACCAUCUGAGAGCAGAUUUGCCUCAGGCUGUCAGCCAACCCUGCUGGAAGACAGAGCUCCUGGGGAAAGUGUGACGUGGCCAAGUGUGCCCAGAAAGCGGGAGUCUUGACUGUGGGACUGGGGCGGAGCUGCCAGGCCGGUCCCAGCACCAAUCCCAAGAAGCCCCCUCACAAUCCUAUUACCCAGAAGGCAGGGGCUACCUCCACCAAUCCACUCACCUCUGUA